AAAAAAUUAGUUAAAUAAUAACAUUAGCAUGUCAAUCUAAAAUUAUCUAUUUUUGAUAUUUUUUA
rnacentral:tRNA from 1 species